CGAUAGCGUAUAUUUAAGUUGUUGCAGUUAAAAAGCUCGUAGUCGGAUUUUGGCUGAGAACGAUCGGUCCGCCGUUAGGUGUGCACUGAUUGGUCUCAGCUUCCUGGUGAGGAGGUGUGCUUCACGGCCACUUAGUCACCGUGGUUACUUUGAAAAAAUUAGAGUGUUCAAAGCGGGCUUACGCUUGAAUAUAUUAGCAUGGAAUAACACCAUAGGACUCCUGUCCUAUUUCGUUGGUCUCGGGACGGGAGUAAUGAUUAAGAGGAACAGUUGGGGGCAUUCGUAUUUCAUUGUCAGAGGUGAAAUUCUUGGAUUUAUGAAAGACGAACUUCUGCGAAAGCAUUUGCCAAGGAUGUUUUCAUUGA
rnacentral:rRNA from 1 species